UCUAUAGAAUCCUAGUCCUGCAUUUAACUGCACACAGCAAACCCCACCCACUAUACAUUCUGCAACAAAAUCAACAAUCCUGACACAGCUCCCAGUGGGCGGAAUGAGCAUCCCCUGCAUCUGAGACAGAAGCCGAGCUAAAUCCAGAAUCCAUCCGCCAAUCACUGAAGAGGCAGAGUAAGAAACCAUGACUUGCAGUCAAAUACAAGAUGUAUGACCGGGAUGAUGGAUGGAUAUGUCCUAAAUAAUGCUGAAGACUCUCUACGAAACCUCUCAGUCUUCUCAGAGCUCCCUGGAUGUCUACAAAGAGGUCUGGGGCCUAUUCAUUGAACAUGACGUUUCAUCAACAAGCAAAGGAUGAUAUGGACAUGGCUCAGACAUUUGCUUCUCAACUUUCAAAUAAAUCAGCGUGUCUACAGGCACAGAAUGGAGUCUGACAAGAGACACAGAACAACUGGAAAGGAAUUAGAAACAAUCAUGAAAAAGAGCAAAUGGACAUUAGUGAGGGCAGGGGAAAUGGCACCUUUGGGGAUAGACCUCUCUAAACAAUUACCCUGGAAGACUAUAACAUUAAUUAAAGGGUCAUAAAAAUGAUACAGUACUUACAGGAGCAGAGCAAGGCCCCUGUGAUAAGAAAUCAGAUGAAUUCUCUGUUUGGAUAGAAAUGUGGACAUUAGCAUGUGAGCUCAGGGGUCUGGGGUACUUUCUUUAAUGAAAAAAAUAUGUGCACCAUUUAUAUAAGAAACCUGACUGUAUGCAGUGCAAAUCUCCCUU